GCAGGGAAUCUUGCGCAAUGGGCGAAAGCCUGACGCAGCAACGCCGCGUGGGGGAUGAAGGCCUUCGGGUCGUAAAAUCCUGUCAGAUGGAAAGAAAUGCAUAGUCGCUAAUAUCGGCUAUGUUUGACGGUACCAUCAAAGGCAGCACCGGCUAACUCCGUGCCAGCAGCCGCGGUAAUACGGAGGGUGCAAGCGUUGUUCGGAAUUACUGGGCGUAAAGCGCGCGUAGGCGGCUUUUUAAGUCAGAUGUGAAAGUCCACGGCUCAAUCGUGGAAGUGCAUUUGAUACUGGGAGGCUUGAGUACUGGAGGGGAUGGUGGAAUUCCCGGUGUAGAGGUGAAAUUCGUAGAUAUCGGGAGGAAUACCGGUGGCGAAGGCGACCAUCUGGCCAGAUACUGACGCUGAGGUGCGAAAGCGUGGGGAGCAA
rnacentral:rRNA from 1 species